rnacentral:rRNA from 1 species
CUACGGGGUGCAGCAGGCGCGAAACCUUUACACUACGCGAAAGCGUGAUAAGGGGAUUCCAAGUGCUUAUGCACUGCAUAAGCUUUUGCCAAGAGUAAAUUUCUUGGCGAAUAAGUGGUGGGCAAGACCGGUGCCAGCCGCCGCGGUAACCCCGGCGCCACUAGUGGGGAUCACAUUUAUUUGGCCUAAAGCGUUCGUAGCCGGCCUGCUAAAUCUCUUGUGAAAUUGUUGGGCUUAACCUAACGGCGAGCAGGAGCGACUGGCAGGCUUGGGACUGGGAGGAGUUGAAGGUAUGCUGGGGGGAGCAGUAAAAUGCUAUAAUCCCCAGUAGACCACCAGUGGCGAAGGCGUUCAACUAGAACGGUUCCGACGGUGAGGAACGAAAGCCAGGGGAGCGAUCCGGAUUAGAUACCCGCGUAGUC